AUGAACGCUGGCGGCAUGCUUAACCCAUGCCAGUCGCACGGGAAGUGGUGUUUCCAGUGGCGAACGGGUGAGUAACGCGUAAGAACCUGCCCUUGGGAGGGGAACAACAACUGGAAACGGUUGCUAAUACCCCGUAGGCUGAGGAGCAAAAGGAGAAAUCCGCCCAAGGAGGGGCUCGCGUCUGAUUAGCUAGUUGGUGAGGUAAUAGCUUACCAAGGCGAUGAUCAGUAGCUGGUCCGAGAGGAUGAUCAGCCACACUGGGACUGAGACACGGCCCAGACUCCUACGGGAGGCAGCAGUGGGGAAUUUUCCGCAAUGGGCGAAAGCCUGACGGAGCAAUGCCGCGUGGAGGUGGAAGGCCUACGGGUCGUCAACUUCUUUUCUCGGAGAAGAAACAAUGACGGUAUCUGAGGAAUAAGCAUCGGCUAACUCUGUG
rnacentral:rRNA from 1 species